CUAGUGUGAUUUGCAAAUUUUCGAUUUUUUUCGUUUGGAUAUAUUUCGCUCAAGAAAAGCUAUAUUUCGCUCAAGAAAAGCUAAAUUUCGAUUGGAUAAGUGACUCUAAGUCCUGCUAAAGGCUUAUUGAUCUCAGGUAUGUAUUAUUUAUCACUUAUUUACUGAGACCGAGGGAAACAGUGUGUUUUGUGGACCCGAGACCGUCGAUGUUUCCCGAGGCGAAGCCGAGGGAAACAUCGACGGUCGAGGGUCCACAAAACACACUGCUUUCCCGAGGUCUCAGUAAAUAAGUGUUUUAUUAUAUAUCAAUAGUCAAAGAAACAACAAAUUAAAGAACAAAUGAACGUAAAUACACGAAAUAUUUUAUUGUUAAAACGUUAUAUUAAACACUGGCUACACUGCAGUUACUUAAAGCGAAAGUUUUAAUUACGUACUAGGAAUGUCCAAAGGUCGCAUCUUCACGUGAUGGCGCACGUGAUUUCUUUUGUUAUUCGCCGGUCGAUAACGUAUUAUCUCCCUCUCGCGCUGUUGCGAGGGAGACAGCCUAAUUUCGUCACUCUCACGUGAUAUGCUCUCAACCAAUAAAACACUAGAAAAAUGCGACUUUGACUAUUGAUAUAUAAUAAUACUCUUUAUAUCAUAUAAUUAUAACGUCCAUCGACCCUAUUUAUAUUUCAUUCUGCUAAAAUUUGAAUUUGCGCGCACGAGAUUUUAUAUAUUGAAAUUAUUUCAUUUCAAUGCCGCCAAAUAUUAGUUAAAACCAACAAUUCAAAUUUUGAACAAGCACAUUAUAGUAAAUACUGGGUUGCACUUGUUUGACAAAACUCGAGAAAGCAUCUUUGAACCCACACAGUGUAUUAAUAUUUGAAACAAUAUGUGAAAUGUGAAUAUGGGUUUGCUUUGCUACAAGUCUAUUUAAGCCAAACCAUGAGAAUUAUUUGAGAGUAUUAAUUAAAUUAUGUUCUUUUAAUCACCUCUCCCCUGGAUUUCCAAGGUCUUUCAAGUCAUUGAGUGCCACUGAGCUCUCUCCCCUUGACAAGUAAAAUCACAUAGGCAUUAACUCUGCCUAGGGUUACUGGCCGGGUUAGACUGAGUAAAAUUAGUGGUGUUUACACUACAAGCCUUGGCCAGGCCAAGAUAAAUGUGGCAUGUUUACACCAUUGCACUAUUUUUUUGAGGUCUACAGGCUCACUUUGGCCAAGAAUUUUGUUAUUAAUUUUGUGUAUUUUUAUGUGUUGUGAUGUUGUCUGCUGGUUGUCUGCUAAUCUCUCACUGUGGACACAUGUUACCAUGAAAAUCAGUCCCCGGCCAGGGCCGAAAGUGUUUACAUUUCCACAAGCCAGGUAGGCUUACGCCAGGUCUGUUGUAGUGAGUCCAGAUUUCCUGGCCUAGGUCAGGACAAGGCUGGGCCAUUUCCACAAGCCUAGGCUUAGGCCAGGUCGGUUGUAGUAAGCCCAUAUUUCCUGGCCUAGGUCAGGGCAAGGCUAGACACAAGGCUGGUAGUGUAAACACGACUAUUGAAUGCAUCAGGGUGCAUUACGACUAAAUGGUUAGUGUUUCCCACAAUAUGGUAAAAAAGUAUAAACUUUUGCUAGCUUGAGCUUGGAUGAUUUCCAAGCUAAACCCUUCUAGAGUUUACCCUGUAUACAUGUGCCUGUUUAUAUGAUAAUGGCAUGACUGGACAGUAUGUUUUAAUCCAGGACUAUAGACGGAAUACACCCCGCCUGGCAGGAAUGAUAGAGUGCUUACUGUAUAUGAGAAUUUCUUGUCCUGGCAGGUGGGAUCCUGUCUAGGCCAGAUAGAAGUAGAAUAAUUCACUUUAAUUACUAAACAGUUGAUAGAGUUCACAUUGCAUGCUGGAUCAUGCCGGCGGUAUCAUAAUAAUUACAAAGUGGCUACAGUAUGAUGCUUGUGAUGUUACUCUGAGUGUAUAUCCACAACGGGCAAGCUUGAAAAAUAUGAAGGAUUUCAGCAAGCUCAAAAAUAGAUCACAAGGUUAGGCAGAUGGCUGCUGUGCUGUAGUCUGUGGUUCGAACCCGAGUUGGGACAGGUUUUUGUUCACCUUAACUAAACAUGUCUUUUUUUCUGAUUAGUUUUAUUUUUUAGGGGUAGAGGUUAGGAUUAGUUUUGUUUGAAUUUGACUUUAACUAUAAAUACAACCUGUGUGGAGACUAAGAAUGAGAGUGCCAUAAAUAUAGCCUGGCAAAGUUUGUUUACGGGCCUGAAGAUAUACAGUAGCCACUUUGUAAUAAUUAUUUAUAAAAGCAAUUUAAUUAUAAUUAAAUGGAUCAAAUGAUUGGAUAAUUACUGCAGACUUUAUAAAAACAGUCUAAGCUUACAACGGCAUAUUAAUUACAAGAGUAUGCACCAGCAUACUUGAGAGUAAAAUGGUCUGGCAUUAGACAGAGUACAAUAAUCUGGCAUUUAAAAGACAGUAAAAUAAGGAAGUAGGGCACACAAGGGUUAGGGUACAAUACAACUUAAUGGGUUCACUAGACACAUGGCCAUAUUAACCCAACAAAACAGAAAUACUUCUCAAGAAGUUUAGCAGGACAUUAAGAUGGGGUGUUAACUGGAUAUUACACUAGGCCGAACAUGCAUAAACUGCAUUGUACCACAACUUUAUUGUUUUAAGGCGGUUUUCCAGUCCUCGCACAAAGCUCCUUGCAGCUCGCUGCGAGGGCUUGUAUCUAAUUAAAAUUAACUGUUUAGCAUUGUGAUUGGAUGAAACUGCUCAUGCAUGCACUCGCAGCGAGCUGCGAGGAGCUUCGUGUGAGAACUGGAAAACCGCCUAUACUCUGUCUGAUGGGUCGUUCCAGAAAAGAUCCACUCUCCCCUGGGCACAGAGGAAAUUUCUACCGUCAGGAGGGGAGGGGAGAAAAAAUUGUUUCUGAUAAUAGUAAGUGUAUUAGGACAUUCAAAUUUCGAAGGGGAUAGGGGAUUAACUUCCAAUCUCCUUCAUACAUAAUCUUAUGAAUCUAUUCAAAGUUUUCUGGAAUGAGCCAAUAGCAUAUUAAAUCACAAAUACCAACAACCAGUAGCAGAUACCUCGUAAAAUAUUGGGGGUACUGUUGAGAUGUCUGUUAACAAAUCCUAUCUAGUGCAUAUUUCUCUUGUUCACCCAUUCACUGGCAAUAUGCUCUACUUUAUAUUACUCUGUCUAAUGCCAGCAAAUUUUACAGUUUUACUUGUUGAGAAGAUAGCCUUGAAGCAGUUUCCAAUUUGCCAUGUUUCGCCCACACAGAGAAUACAGUACAUUACAGGGGAUGAGAAGGGUAAAAGCCAUAUGAACCAAGGGUUAUCAAUUAUGAUAAUACUAGAACCAACUUCAACCAAAGGUUGGGUUGUGCUACUACAUUAGGUCUUCCCAUUCGUAAUAAUGUGCAAAGUUUAUAGGUUGGACAGGAGGGAAUUGCUCAUAUAUUGCUGCAUGCGAACUGUGAACUUGUACUAUAUACUGUAAUGUUAGCUGACCGGUACAUGAAAUACAGUAUGUAGAGCUAAUGAUAGUCUUGUAUUUCCUUUCUUAUAGCUCAUGUGACUAAACGUUUUGCGGGAGCAACAGCUUCAUCAGUGAAAGGUGCCAUGGCCCAAAAGUGCAAAGACAAAAGAAAUGCUGAUAUGAAAAGAAGAAAAAUUGCAGAAGACAUUUGAACUGCUAAGUUUUUUCCUUAUUAUAAAUUAUUUUGUAUGGUAGCUAAACAUUUGUAGAAAUUAACUGUAUUAAUAAAUUAUUUAAACUUCCUAUAUAUACCAUUACAGUAUCUCACUGUUUAACAGGUUAAAUGUGCAUGAUUGAAGCUUUGCAUAAUUUCACAUGUGAAACUGGAACAUGUGAUAUUUCACAUGUGUAUUUGGAACAUGUGAUAUCUCACAUGUGAAGUUCCACAUGUCAACACGUGUGAAAUUAUGUGUUUCACAGGUAAAGUUUCUCAUGUGAAGUUUCACAUGUGAAUUUGGA